UUUGAAAGAGAGUUAAAAAGUACUUGAAAUUGCGGAGAGCAGAAGGGAUGGCGACUAGUACUGGUCUAGAGGAUUUUUGUGUUGGAUAGCUCGAGUUUGUGUUUCUGGAUUGGCUCUGCCUUCCACCUGCAUCUACAACAGGUUAUGCGCACGUCCUGUCCUCUGGACUUAGGUCAGAAUGGGUUAGGUUCGAUUGAAGCAGGUAUUGUGAAGGUAACUUAGCCCUCGGGUUAUGAACAUAUAGCACAAUACUUUAGCCAGAUCGUCCUUGACCGAGGUGCUAAAAUGUGCGCUCUAAGCUGGGGA
rnacentral:rRNA from 2 species